GUGGGGAAUAUUGCGCAAUGGGGGAAACCCUGACGCAGCAACGCCGCGUGGGUGAAGAAGGCCUUCGGGUUGUAAAGCCCUUUCGGCCGGGAAGAAGGGUGCAGAUGCUAAUAUCGUCUGCAUUUGAUGGUACCGGAGGAAGAAGCACCGGCAAACUUCGUGCCAGCAGCCGCGGUAAUACGAAGGGUGCGAGCGUUGUUCGGAAUUAUUGGGCGUAAAGGGUUCGUAGGCGGGAUAGUAAGUUGAUUGUGAAAACCCUGGGCUUAACCUGGGACGUGCAGUCAAGACUGCUAUUCUUGAGUAUGGGAGAGGGUGGUGGAAUUGCUGGUGUAGGAGUGACAUCCGUAGAGAUCAGCAGGAACGCCGGAGGCGAAAGCGACCACCUGGUCCAAAACUGACGCUGAGGAACGAAAGCGUGGGGAGCAAACAGGAUUAGAAACCCCAGUAGUCC
rnacentral:rRNA from 1 species